CAGAGUUUGAUAUGGCUCAGGAUGAACGCUAGCUACAGGCUUAACACAUGCAAGUCGAGGGGAAACGACAUCGAAAGCUUGCUUUUGAUGGGCGUCGACCGGCGCACGGGUGAGUAACGCGUAUCCAACCUGCCCACCACUUGGGGAUAACCUUGCGAAGUAAGACUAAUACCCAAUGAUAUCUCUAGAAGACAUCUGAAAGAGAUUAAAGAUUUAUCGGUGAUGGAUGGGGAUGCGUCUGAUUAGCUUGUUGGCGGGGUAACGGCCACCAAGGCUACGAUCGAGUAGGGUUCUGAGAGGAACGGUCCCCCACAUUGGAACUGAGACACGGUCCAAACUCCGUACGGGAGGCA
rnacentral:rRNA from 1 species